GAAUCUAUAUCGAUUCGAUAGUGGCUUAAGGGAGGCAACUCUUUCAUGCUUAUCUCGAGUUCUUGAGGAGGUUGGAGAGUUGUUGUUCCUUAAUUUUCGGAGACAUUCGGACUUGUACGUCGUUUGUUUGUGUCUCGUUGUUUCCCCUUAGAAUGGAUGCGCUGUGAUUGAGCUCCAACAUUUUGGCAUUUUGUAUGGUCCCGCACACUCUGUAAGUACAGAUACUUUGCUAUAUGGUAGAUUAUGAUUUGGUUGUCAUGCAUCUGCUAAAGUUUUAAACCGUAAUUUAGUAGGAAGGUAAUGUUAUCAUUCAGAAUUUCUGCAUGCUGUUCCCGCCAUUCUAAAAAUAGACGAGUGGAGUUUCUUAGUGACGUCACUUCAUUGUUUUUAGAAUGGAAUGUUUGGAGUUUCCUAAGGUCGCCAAGUACAUGUUAUGUAGGACGAUGUUUUAUCAGUAACUUCGUUUUAAAUCGAUAAAAUAAGUAUUUUAAAUCGUUUCAAAGUAUUGGACACCGUAAUAAUGUGCGUAAUAAUGUGCUUGAGAUUAGAGUACAGAUAAUUUGAUAUUUCUUCGUACUUAUAAUGGGUAUGGAUUUCAGCUCCAAUUUAUUAAUGUUGCAAACAGUGUCAACCCAGAUCGGUCACAUGAUUAUGUCAUUCUGUGUUUGGAAUCACACUGUUUGAUAUUAAAGAUGAAUCUUACUGCUGCAUAAUGGUUUUAAUAUGUUCUUGUAUAUAUGAUGGUGUACGAUCUAGUCACAAGUUGUUUUGUUUAUUUGUAGUUUUUCACCGCACGCAACGUUAUACGUCUCAACACAUUGUAACCUAUCGAGAUGAAGAUAAUAAAAUGGUGACACUAGCUGUGGAUUGUUAUGUCAUUGAAAAUCCUAGUGACAGCAUAGUGAAAAAAGAGUCAUCUAGGGACAACAUAUGGACAGCUGGACCAGCAUCUACAUAGUUACCCACCAUAUCACGUUGAAUCAUGGCAGAUGAAGAAACUAGAAAACGAACAAUGACAGAUAAAGGUUUAGAACAUUACGAAGAAACGCGUUCAAAGUUUUAUAAAAAGGUGCAAACGUCCUAUGAUCGACUUUGUAGUACAUUGGAAGAGACUAAUGUGGAUCUGGAGAACCCAGAGGCGAAUAAAGUGUUGUUGGACAGACUCCAUAGUGCUCAUGCUACAUAUUUAACUGUAUCAUCAGAGUUUGCAGACUUUUUGUCGAGAAGUAUAACCGAGAGUAGUAAAGCCGAGCUUGAAGAAAUUGACAAACAGGUGAAGUUGAUAGGAGAUCGCGUAAGUGAAGCCGUGCAAAAGAUAAAUGACAUUAUAGGGACUUCAAAAGCCGCUGUUUCUAUUAGAUCAAAGUCAUCACAUGGUUCCAAGGAGUCUCAUGUGUCAUCUUCGUCUAGUUCUCGUGCUCGCGCAGAUACAGCUCGUAUUCGUUUAGAAUACGCUAAGAGAGAGGCCGAGCUGAUGAAGAAGAUGGCUCUAAUUGAAGAAGAACGUCUGUUAGCAGUUGCCAGAGCAUCGAGGGUAAAGCAAGAAGUUAGUGCAGACUUAAAUGUGCUGAAGGUAGAGGGUGAUGUUGCUGUAGCAGAAAUAGAAGCGUCAUACGCAGAAGAAGCUGAUGGUGUGUCAAGAAAUGCGGACUUUGACUUGACGUAUGAAGCUGCAAGUGAAAGGUCAAAAAACUAUAUAGAUAAUUUACCAGAAAUUCCUAGAGCUGGAGCAGCAGGCACACAGAGUAAACCUACAGUGUAUGCCUCUCGCGAUCCAGAUAGACACUUUGAAUGCGAUAAUGUGAGUCAUAACUCAGAGACAUACCUCAAAGAGAAUCAUUGUGAAGAAGAGCAAGCAAGAGUACGUGUACAUCAAGAAUCAGUUUUAAGGAAUUCCGAUGCUGACAUUUUAACAAGUUUCCUUUUGCGAAAAGACAUUAUGCCACAAAGAUUGAAAAAAUUCAACGAGAAACCACAAUCAUUCGGUGUGUGGAAAACUACGUUUAAAAGCGUCAUGAAAGAAUUGAAAGUUACCCCAACAGAAGAGAUUGACUUGUUGGUAAAUAACUUGGGUUCAGAAUCACAGAUAUGGGCAGAGAGCAUACAUUCAGCAAAUGCUUCCAAUCCAGAGCAUGGCUUAGAACUCAUCUGGGAAAGGUUAGACAACUGCUAUGGAUCCCCUGAGAAAGUUGAAGCUUCCCUGAAAUUGAGAAUUAGAAAGUUCCCCCAGUUGACUAACAAAGACAAUAAACGUCUGUAUGAACUGAGUGAUCUUUUGCUCGAAGUAUUUUCAGUUAAAAAGGACCCUCAAUUUGCCACACAGUUUGCUGCCUAUGACUCAUCCUCUGCUGUUAAUGAAAUUGUGUGCAAGCUGCCAUUUAAUAUGCAACAAAAGUGGAUCUCCCAUGCUGCAAGGUACAAAAAGGAACACAAAGUAACAUUUCCACCUUUUUCUGUAUUUGUAGAGUUUGUGCGUGACAAUAGCAAGAUCCGUAAUGACCCAGCAUUUCAGUGGGAACAUCAAGUGGUCGAAGCUUGCCCCAAACCUAAACAGAGACAGAGCUCUUCUAUAAACGCGCGUGUAGUCAAUCGUAAAACUGACAUCCACAUAGGCAGUGAAAUCAGUGACGACAAGAUGAAGAAUGAUCAGAUCACACGAUGUCCCAUUCACAGAUCUGGACACGGUUUGAAAGAGUGCAAAACCUUUGCGAACAUGACUUGGGAAGAAAGGCGAAAAUUGCUGAAAGAAAAAGGUAUAUGUUACAGGUGUAUUUCUUCAAGUGAUCAUGCUUCCACAAACUGUCCAGUUUCUGUCACCUGUGAAAUAUGCAUGAAGAAAAAUCAUCUUACUGCUAUGCAUCGAGAUAGAACUGAAUUUAAUGUGCGAAACUCGGCUGUACCUGCAUCUGACCAAAGCAAAGUGACAGUUUCUUCAAAAUGUACUUCUCUGUGUGGCCAAGGCUUUAGGGGCAGAUCCUGUGGCAAAAUCGUUCUGGUCGACGUAGCUUACAAAGGUCAUGAAAAUACAGAACGUGUAUACGCCAUUCUAGAUGAUCAAAGCAAUCGCUCAUUGAUAAGCCCUGAACUCUGCAACAAACUAAACGUUUCCGGUGAAUCAACAGAGUACACACUAUCCUCGUGUUCAGGUAGUAGCGUUAUGGCGGGGAGACGUGUUUCAGGCCUGACAGUGUCAUCUAAAGGUGCUCCAAAGGGUUCCAGAUUUGGAUUUGAACUACCCACAUUAAUCGAAUGUGAUGCCAUUCCACAAGAUACAUCAGAAAUCCCGACACCAGAAGUUGCACGUAGCUUUGCACAUCUGAAGAAGAUUGCCUCAUUCAUGCCGCCACUAGAACCUGACUGCGGUAUCGAGCUGCUAAUAGGCAGAGACUUGCUGGAAGUCCACCACGUAAUUGACCAGAUAAUAGGGCCCAAAGAUACGCCAUUUGCCUUACGCCUUCCCUUAGGCUGGGUUAUCGUUGGGGAAGUGUGUCUUGGCAGAGUACACCAGCCAGACUCUGUCAAUACAUACUUUACGAGCAUUUGCAAAGACGGGCGAGAGACCAUCUUCAGACCAUGCCCAUCUUACCUGACUGUGAAGGAACCAGAUUUCUCAGAUGAUGUGGUCUUCAGGAGACAACCCGAUGACAACAAAGUUGGCCUGUCCGCCGAAGACAGAAGUUUCCUCAGAAUUAUGAAUUCCGAGUUUGCAAUGGACAAAUCUGGACAGUGGACUGCACCAUUGCCCUUUAAGUCGCCUAGACCUAUGCUUCCAGACAACAAGGAGCAAGUGUUUAAACGUGCAGUAUCCUUGAAGAAGAGCCUGGAACAGAAUCCAGAGAAAUGCCAGCAGCUUGUCCAGUUCAUGCAGAAAAUCUUCGACAAUGGUGCGGCAGAAAAGGCUCCGACUCGGGAUGAAGAUGGUAAAGAGAACUGGUACCUGCCAUUAUUCGGGGUGUACCAUCCCAAGAAACCGGAUCAAAUAAGAGGUGUUUUUGAUUCCUCGGUUGCCUUCAGGGGUCAAUCUCUUAAUGAUCUAUUGCUCUCAGGACCAAAUUUGACCAACAAUCUACUUGGUGUUUUACUCCGUUUUCGCAGAGAUAAGUAUGCAGUAUCUGCCGACAUAGAGCAAAUGUUCUAUCGCUUCCUAGUGAAUAACGAACACAGAGACUUCCUGCGGUUCUUUUGGUUUCAAAACAACAACCCCGAGCUGCCAUUCACUGUUUUCCGCAUGAAAGUUCAUGUUUUCGGGAACAAACCUUCACCUGCAGUUGCCACCUAUGGAUUGCGCAAGGCUGUUGAGUCUGUCGACAAGGACAUACAACAGUUUGUUGCCAAAGAUUUCUAUGUGGAUGACGCAUUGACAUCUAAGCCAACACGAGAACAGGCCGUUAGCUUGUUGCAACGGACCAGAAAGGCUCUGCAAGAAAAUGGUCAAAUCCAUCUUCACAAAAUCGUCUCAAAUGAUGUUGACAUUAUGAACCAGUUUCCUAAGGUGGAGCUUAGCACAACCCUGAAAGACAUGGAUCUAGGCGAUACACUCCCUAUGCAGCAGAGUCUAGGGCUAACCUGGGACAUCAACUCAGAUAUGUUCUCAUUCACUGCUCCAAGUGUUGACAGACCAUUUACGAGGCGAGGACUUCUAUCAACCAUGAAUAGUAUUUUUGAUCCUAUUGGUUUUGCUGCACCUUUCACAAUUAGUGGGAAAAUCUUGCUUCGUGAGGCUUGUUCAGUUGGAAGUGCUUGGGACGACCCUUUGCCAGAAACAUUUCAUAAAGAGUGGGUUCAGUGGAAGAAAAAUCUUGAGAUGCUGAAUGGCUACAAGGUUUCUCGCAUGUAUAUACCAGACUCUCUAAGCUUGGCCAAAGACUAUCAAAUCCACGUCUACUCCGAUGCAUCUGAGAGUGCUAUAGCGGCCGCUGCCUAUGUCGUCGUUGAAUCCAGUGACCAACCACAAGUGGGCUUUAUCAUGGGAAAAGCCAAGCUGGCUCCUAAAACUGGACACACAAUACCUAGACUAGAAUUAUGUGCAGCCGUUUUGGCCACAGAAGUGGCAUCAUUUGUAUCGCAUCAAUUGGACAUUCCAUCAUCAUCAUUUCAGUUCUUCACAGAUAGCAUGGUGGUGUUGGGCUAUAUCGGGAAUAAGACCCGUAGAUUCUAUACAUAUGUGAGCAAUAGGGUUGCACAAAUCCAUGAAUUCUCUGAGCCUGAACAGUGGCAAUACAUUUCUACUGAAUAUAAUCCUGCAGAUUCAGCCACUAGGGCAUCUUCUGAGAAUAUCCAUACAGUGCUAGAGAAAUGGCAUAGUGGGCCGAAUUACCUUAUUGGAGAACAAAAAGAAAGAGAUGUGAAAGAGUUUCCUCUUCAGUGUCCUGAGGAAGAUUCAGAGGUUCGCCCAGAAGUUGUAGUAAAGGCGACAAAUGUAAAGAGUUCCAUGGAUCCAGUUGCUAAAGCCUGUGAGCGCUUCUCAUCUUGGAAGAAAUUGGUGUUAGCGUUUAGCUUGCUCAUUCAUAUUGCCAGGACGUUCUCAAAACGCAAUGACUGUAAGUGUUCUGGAUGGCAUGUGUGUGAGAAGAGAUCCUCUCCUGCUGUUCGAAUAGAUGCAGAGCAAUUUAUACUGUCUGAACUCCAGAAACGGCAUUAUGCUGAAGAAAUUUGUGCAUUGAAGGCCGGCAAGCCCAUUCCCAAGAAAAGCGCAAUAAUUUCCUUAUCCCCUUAUUUAGAUGAAAAUGGGAUACUCAGAGUCGGUGGCCGCCUUCGAAAGCUACGGAAAAGCCAGGGAAUUAAAGUUGUUAACCCUUUGAUCGUCCCAAAAGGUCAUGUAGCAACACUGUUAGUUCGACAUCAUCAUGAAAGGGUCCAACACCAGGGCCGACACCUCACGGAAGGUGCUGUCCGCAAUGCAGGUUUGUGGAUAAUCGGUGGCAAGCGUUUAAUUGGCAGUGUUUUACAUCACUGUGUAACUUGCCGAAAGCUUCGUGGAAAGACCGCUGAACAGAAAAUGGCCGAUUUGCCACAAGAUCGUCUUACUUCCUCACCGCCCUUCACACACGUUGGAGUGGAUGUGUUUGGCCCUUGGACCGUGGUGACAAGACGUACCAGAGGAGGUAGUGCAAAUUCAAAACGCUGGGCUGUGCUUUUCACAUGUUUGUAUAGUAGAGCUGUCCAUAUUGAGCUACUAGAGGAGAUGUCUACGUCCUGUUUCAUAAAUGCAAUGCGCAGAUUUAUUGCAAUUCGCGGAAAAGUGUCAGAAUUUCGGUCGGAUCGUGGCACAAAUUUUAUAGGAGCAGCCUCCGAGCUUGGUAUGAAAACGGUCUGUGUAGAAGAUGACCAAUUUCAGACCUACUUACAAGACAAUGAAAUAAUUUGGCGUUUCAAUCCGCCUUAUGCCUCCCAUUUUGGUGGCGUUUGGGAAAGAAUGAUCGGGAUUGCUCGUCACAUUCUAGAUGCAAUGCUACUAGACUUCAAACAAGGAAAACUUACUCAUGAAGUUCUCUCAACCUUAAUGGCAGAGGUUACCGCUAUCAUGAACUCCAGGCCUCUUGUCCCAGUUUCUACAGAUGUUGAAGAACCAUUUGUCCUAUCACCGGGAAUGCUACUUACACAGAAAUCUCCCGAGAUAGUUUGCAGUUUCCGCGACAUAGGUGUGAAAGAUAUGUACCACUCUCAGUGGAAGACAGUGCAGUUUCUGGCAAAUAUUUUCUGGAAACGUUGGAAGGGUGAUUUUCUGUCAUCUCUACAGACGAGGAAGAAGUGGGCGUCGCCUUGUGAAAACAUCAAAGCUGAUGAUGUAGUUCUAUUACGCGAUCGAGAUUGUGCGCGCAAUGAAUGGCCUAUGGGUCUUGUGACAAAGGCAUUUCCUAGUGACGACGGACUUGUUAGAAAGCUGCAAAUCAGGGUUAUGAAGAAUGGAAAGCAAUGCCUUUAUGUGAGACCAAUUAAAGAAGUUGUUUUGCUUGUGUCGUCGUAGAAAGCAGCAACAACAGAAGAAUGUUUCAGAAAUCUUAUUUAACUGAGGCAUAAAGAUUUUGUGUAAAAUAUGUUUUAUUCUUGAAAGUAUUUUGAAGUUGUUCCUUUCAAAGUCAGAACUUAAACAUAAGUUCCCGCUCAGAAGCCUUUAUGCACAAUCAAAUUUAUUUUGCUUUCUGCAUAAAUAUCUUCUUGCGAAAUUAGAAAACAUACCUUACAUGAAAAUUUUUAAUUUUCUGCUAUGUUAAUGAUUUGCUACACUAAAGUCUUUAUGCAACGUUCGCGCAAUAUCAGUGUUAAUAUGUGCAGAUGCCUUCGGGUAAUUCUCUGUGUGCCUAAUGAGUAUCUCCUCAAAGGAAAAUCAUCCAAAACAUUUUGCUCUCCGAACUGGUGUCCAAUCCGGAAAGACCUGCAAUGAGGGCCUUUCUAAUGAGACUUAUGUGAAACGGCAUUAAGAAAGGCAUAUGUUAACACAUGCUCGAGAGAAACUUUCAGCGACUCGAGACAGCAACUAUGCUUGUAUGAACUUUGAGAUAUUAAGUCAGUCUUUUAAUCAUAAAAAUAUUAGUCUUUGAUACAAUGUGUUAAUAUCUCUUCAGAUAUUGCAUUUGACUGUAUUUAUUCUUAAGUAUGCCAUUUUUUAUGUAGUCAUGGUAUAAGUUUGAAUAAUUACAGUAAACCUGUGUAUUCCAAGACUUACUUGGAAAGAUGCUUAAGAAAAUGGUUUAAGUCUUGUGGUUAUAUCCUUUGAUAUAAGACGGGGAGUGUUCUGGACCGAUUUCAGUUUAUCCUUCCUUUCAAUCUGUAAGCAAUUUUGGAAUCUAUAUCGAUUCGAUAGUGGCUUAAGGGAGGCAACUCUUUCAUGCUUAUCUCGAGUUCUUGAGGAGGUUGGAGAGUUGUUGUUCCUUAAUUUUCGGAGACAUUCGGACUUGUACGUCGUUUGUUUGUGUCUCGUUGUUUCCCCUUAGAAUGGAUGCGCUGUGAUUGAGCUCCAACAUUUUGGCAUUUUGUAUGGUCCCGCACACUCUUUUUUCACCGCACGCAACGUUAUACGUCUCAACACAUUGUAACCUAUCGAGAUGAAGAUAAUAAAAUGGUGACACUAGCUGUGGAUUGUUAUGUCAUUGAAAAUCCUAGUGACAGCAUAAGCUAUAUAUGUUGACACAAAAGAGCACACUGUUACUGUGAAUAAAGUCAUGAAGAUUGAAGUUGAACAAGAGAUGUUUGUCAAACAUUAUGCCCCCUGAGCGCCAAGUUGCCAGAAAUAUUUGGACAAUUGAAUGAAAUAUGCAUGGACUGAAAUGACAGCUGAUUUGUCAUUGGAUGCAUAUGAGGCAGGUCAUCUACUGGUCAUACCUAAUCUUCAUGUCAAGUUUGAUGACCAUAGGUCCGGGAAUUGUUGAGUUAUCACUCGGACAAGCUUUGGUCUUCCAACAGACCGACCGACAUGUGCAAAGCAAUUAUAUAACCCCUCUGCUUCGAAGGGGGGCAUAAUUAAACUAGAUGUUCACUGAAAACUGAUACUUCAACUCAUGCAUUUAGUGACAUAUAAAUUUCUACUGUCUACUAUAUAAGAAAAUAAAAUAUGGACAAUCAGAAAACCUUUUUUCAGCUUACAGUCACACUGACCUUGACCUUUGACCCACUGACCUCAAAAUCAAUAGGGUUCAUCUGCUGGUCAUGACCAAUAAGCCUACCUAGUAUGAGGUCCCUGGGUCAAAGCGUUCUCAAGUUAUUGAUCGGAAACCGUUUUUCAUGUUAAGGUCACACUGACCUUGACCUUUGACCUCAAAAUCAAUAGGGUUCAUCUGCUGGUCAUGACCAAUACACCUACCAAGUAUGAGGUUCCUGGGUCAAAGCGUUCUCAAGUUAUUGAUCGGAAACCGUUUUUCAUGUAAAGGUCACACUGACCUUGACCUUUGACCCACUGACCUCAAAAUCAAUAGGGUUCAUCUGCUGGUCAUGACCAAUAAGCCUACCUAGUAUGAGGUCCCUGGGUCAAAGCGUUCUCAAGUUAUUGAUCGGAAACCGUUUUUCAUGUUAAGGUCACACUGACCUUGACCUUUGACCCACUGACCUCAAAAUCAAUAGGGUUCAUCUGCUGGUCAUGACCAAUACACCUACCAAGUAUGAGGUUCCUGGGUCAAAGCGUUCUCAAGUUAUUGAUCGGAAACCGUUUUUCAUGUAAAGGUCACACUGACCUUGACCUUUGACCCACUGACCUCAAAAUCAAUAGGGUUCAUCUGCUGGUGAUGACCAAUACACAUACCAAGUAUGAGGUCCCUCGGUCAAAGCGUUCUCAAGUUAUUGAUCGGAAACCAU